rnacentral:rRNA from 1 species
UACAUGUGGGGCAAGCGUUGUUCGGAAUUACUGGGCAUAAAGGGCGCGUAGGCGGCCCUCUAAGUCAGACGUGAAAUCCCCCGGCUUAACCUGGGAACUGCGUCUGAUACUGGAGGGCUUGAGUAUGGGAGAGGGAUGUAGAAUUCCAGGUGUAGCGGUGAAAUGCGUAGAUAUCUGGAGGAAUACCGGUGGCGAAGGCGGCAUCCUGGACCAUUACUGACGCUGAGGCGCGAAAGCUAGGGGAGCAAACGGG